UUAAUAGCCUGUUUAUCCUGAACGUGUUGCUGUUGUUGCUUUGGGUUCUUUAUUAGAAGUUGCUUUUGAAGGUGGUCCUCGGCUCUGGCCUAUGUAUAAAAAAGGUUAUUAUGAUAAUUUGAUCUCUAAAAAAGACAGAUUUGUUAGUAUUCAAGCUAUUCAAGAUCUUUAUCGUUACAACAAAGAUCUUCAUGUUUAUCAAGUUACUUGUAAAAAUAUUGAUCAAGCUGUGAGUAAUAUUAUAUUUUAAAAUUAUUAUAAAUUAUCCAAUUUUCAAAGAUAAUACAAUAUAGAAUCAAAAAUUUUCUAACAUUACUGGAAUUUUAAAUAUGUAAGUAAUAGUAAAUUCUAAAAUAUACAUUUAUUUUUAUUUUUAUCAUAAUUUAAUUUGUAAUGUGGAAUGCCAUUGUAUGGGGAGUUUGGACUAAUAGGAAAAAUUGUUGCAAAGACAUAAUCAUGAACCUGAAAGACUUUUUUUCCUUUGUAUGCUGUAUUUUUUAAGUGUAUAAAGUAUGAUAUAAAUCAUUAUAUGCAUUGUACAGUAGAAGAGUUAAUAAUUUGACAGUUCUGUGAAAAACAAUCAAAAAAUUUUCUUAUUUUCUGAGAAUGCAGCUUUAUGCAGUAUACAAAUAUAAAAUUAGCACAUAUUUUAAUAAAUUUGUAUCAUUCAUACUUUAGUUUAAAAAAAUUCAUAACACAUAAUUGCUUAAUAAAUGAAAUAACCAACACCAGAAAAAACUAUCACAAAUGAUAAAUUUACACUUUAAAUAAUAGGGAAAAAACUAAUAUAAACUUACAGCUUAACAAUUAUGGAACAUAAUACUCUUUGCUACUUCUAUUGAGGUGUAAGUGAGACAAGGAUUCCUAGCAAACUGAAUAGUAUCCUUGUUCUUGACCAUUUUUUCCUAAGUCUUCCUAUCAAUUUGUUUGCUUCUGGGAUAAAGUGAUUUCUUCCCUUAUGAAAUGGGGUUAGCUUUAAGAAAUAAGGUUAACACCAGCAUUUUGUUAUGUUAUAUAAUGUAAAAUAUAAACUAUAAAAAGGCUAGAAUUGCCACAUAAGU